AUUGAACUCUGGCGGCCGGCCUAACACAUGCAAGUCGAACGAGCGGCGGACGGGUGAGUAAUGUCUGGGGAACUUCCCGAUGGAGGGGGAUAACUACUGGAAACGGUCGCUAAUACCGCAUACUAUCGGAUGCGCCCAUAUGGGAUUAGCUAGUAGGUGGGGUAACGGCUCACCUAGGCGACGAUCCCUCGCUGGUCUGAGAGGAUGACCAGCCAAACUGGAACUGAGACAGGGUCCAGACUCCUACGGGAGGCAGCAGUGGGGAAUAUUGCACAAUGGGCGCAAGCCUGAUGCAGCCAUGCCGCGUGUAUGAAGAAGGCCUUAGGGUGGUAAAGUACUUUCAGCGGGGAGGCGUUACUCGCAGAAGAAGCACCGGCUAACUCCGUGCCAGCAGCCGCGGUAAUUC
rnacentral:rRNA from 1 species